rnacentral:tRNA from 1 species
UCUAAUAUGGCAGAUUAGUGCAAUGAAUUUAAGCUUCAUAUAUAAAGAUAACUUUCUUUUAUUAGAA